UACGAAGGGGGCUAGCGUUGCUCGGAAUUACUGGGCGUAAAGGGCGCGUAGGCGGACAGUUUAGUCAGAGGUGAAAGCCCAGGGCUCAACCUUGGAAUAGCCUUUGAUACUGGCUGUCUUGAGUUCGGGAGAGGUGAGUGGAAUGCCGAGUGUAGAGGUGAAAUUCGUAGAUAUUCGGCGGAACACCAGUGGUGAAGGCGACUCACUGGCCCGAUACUGACGCUGAGGCGCGAAAGCGUGGGGAGCAAACAGG
rnacentral:rRNA from 1 species